GCAUUACCACCGACCAGUCCUCAGCCGGCAACAUGAAGCUGGGUGGCCUCUGCCUCCUGCUCCUCCUCGCCGUCCUUCUCACCCUCAAUGCAGAGUUCCAAGCAGUUGAUGUAGGUAUCUGUGUGACGGAGUGCAAGGUAGACCAGGACUGUGGGGCAGGAAGACGAUGCACCAGCAAUGGAUGUGGCCGGGUCUGCUCCCCAGUCCGGCGAAGAGAGGCCUGCGAGCACCAGUGCAGAGAAGACAGGGACUGUGGGAGUGGACAUCCGUGCGUGAGGAAGGGCUGUGGGCACGUCUGCGCCCCCGUCCAUCAAGUCGAUGUAGGGAUCUGUGUGACGGAGUGCAAGGUAGACCAGGACUGUGGGGCAGGAAGACGAUGCACCAGCAAUGGAUGUGGCCGGGUCUGCUCCCCAAUCCAGCGAAGAGAGGCCUGCGAGCACCAGUGCAGAGAAGACAGGGACUGUGGGAGUGGACAUCAGUGCGUGAGGAAGGGCUGUGGGCACGUCUGCGCCCCCGUCCAUCAAGUCGAGGCCUGCGAGCACCAGUGCAGAGAAGACAGGGACUGUGGGAGUGGACAUCAGUGCGUGAGGAAGGGCUGUGGGCACGUCUGCGCCCCCGUCCAUCAAGUCGGUAUCUGUGUGACGGAGUGCAACGUAGACCAGGACUGUGGGGAAGGAAGACAAUGCACCAGCAAUGGGUGUGGCCGUGUCUGCUCCCCAGUCCAGCAAGAAGAUGUAGGUAUCUGUGUGACGGAGUGCAAGGUAGACCAGGACUGUGGGGAAGGAAGACGAUGCACCAGCAAUGGGUGUGGCCGUGUCUGCUCCCCAGUCCAGCAAAAAGAGGCCUGCGAGCACCAGUGCAGAGAAGACAGGGACUGUGGGAGUGGACAUCAGUGCGUGAGGAAGGGCUGUGGGCACGUCUGCGCCCCCGUCCAUCAAGUCGAUGUAGGUAUCUGUGUGACGGAGUGCAAGGUAGACCAGGACUGUGGGGAAGGAAGACGAUGCACCAGCAAUGGAUGUGGCCGUGUCUGCUCCCCAGCCCAGCAAAGAGAGGCCUGCGAGCACCAAUGCAGAGAAGACAAGGACUGUGGGAGUGGACAUCAGUGCGUGAGGAAGGGCUGUGGGCACGUCUGCUCCCCCAUCCCUCAAGUAGGUAUCUGUGUGACGGAGUGCA
ensembl:lncRNA